GGCUUGCUAUGGCCCUCUGCCUCCUGCGUGCAGUGUAUUUGAAAGUCACUAAUGCCUUCUUCCUUGGAGGUGCGGGCUUGAACACUUUGUCUUGGUACCUCUGAGAAUCCCUGAGUGAGGAAGCUUUCCCUCCAGCAGCCUGUCCAGACUUCACUCCUGCUUAGCCAGCCCUGCGCAGGGAACACAGCCCAAUGGCUGCAUCACCCAUCCAUCUCCUCACACUUGUGGAAUGACUGGGAAGAACAGCACCAGCUUAAGAAGAGCUGUGGUGGAGCCCUGACCCAUCAAAGCAAGGUCCAGGUAAGCGGUGGAGCAGGCUGUGAAGCAGGAAGUGGAUGUUGUAUGCAAAUCUCUACGGAGAGGAAGCUGCUGCUCCGCAGGCUCCCCGUGGGCAGUGAAUCAACGGCUGAGAAGUCUCUCUAUUUCUUAAAACAGAAACCUCCUUCAUUUACCAGAGAGAGUCAGCAACCAAUUAGGCGCCGUCCUGAUUUUACCAUCCAGAUAAGAAACUGUGAGGAAUGCCCCGGCCUCGGGGGUGACUGCGGUGCCUGAGAAGGUGUCUCCGGGAGAUUGAACUUGAGUGUUCAGACUGUGUAUUCAUUAGCAGCUUCAAAUGAGGACACUGGGGCCUGAUGAUGGGAAGGAGUAUGAAGCAAGAGUUUUUUACUGUGUCCUUUAACUACCUAAAACACAUGUGCUGCCCAUAACUAAGGAGCAAGGAUUCACUGCCUAUACAGCUCUGUGCAGGAGUGUAUGAACACACACACACACACACACACACACACACACACACACACACACACCCCUCUGGCUUCUCAUUUCACAAUCUUAAGUGUCUUUCUUCCUUUUCCUCUGUUUAUUCAGUUGCCUACAGAAUUUAUUGCACACAGGGGGAUCCGAGAGGCAGGAUGCUGCUGCUGCAGCAAUGUGUUUGGAUAAUAUAAAUCCAGGUGAUUUCCUGUGCACUGGAGGGUGGUGGGAGCCAGUCCAGGUGUGAACUCAGUCAUGUCACAGGGCAGCAAGGCUCUUCACUGCACACCAGCUGCUGGACUCGACCACCUGUAGAAGGUGUCUCAGACUGAACCAGCCCUGGAAUCUGUCUGUCUUCCCACUCUCAUGGAGGGGACAAGACCUAGAAGACUCCCAACCAGGUUAUACCAGGUCUACCCAAGUUGCUCCACAUAUCAUAUGCAAAGGGAAUGAGGCUCGUUUUUUUCAGAGCUGAGGACCGAACCCAGGGCCUUGUACUUGCUAGGCAAGCGCUCUAUCACUGAGCUAAAUCCCCAACCCCUAGAGGCUCAUUUUUUAAACAAUCAUAAUAAAGGUGGUAUGCGCACACUGUGGUGUGUUUUUACAAUGAAGUGCUAUGUAGAUGUUAAAAUAAUAAAUAUGUGGAUUUGUUAUUUGUAAAAAUUAACAUGGAAAAGAGGCUCUGAGAAAUUAUUUAAUGAAACAUUAUUUUUGAUAAUACAUAUGAUCACACACACACACACACACACACACACACACACACACACAGAUGUUUACGUGUCCCCAGCAUCUAGGCCAUUGCCUGUGACAUUGUAGACAAUCACUCUAUACAUGUUGAAUGAUCAAGUCAGAAAUGCUUGAAGCUGGACCUCCUCAUUACACAGGCCUGUUAUUCCCAGACUGAUUCCCUCAGCCUUGAAUUUUCUGCUUCAAAAACUAUUAUCCAGUCUUUUGAGGAGGUGAGGGAAGACAACAUUCUUUGUGGAAUGGCUGAAACCAAGAGAACUGGAGGGGAGGGGGUAGCUAUCAGCGUUAGAUCAGGACAGGAAAGGAGAGAAGCAUGGCAUGGGAGGAGGGAAG